rnacentral:lncRNA from 1 species
UAAAAUUGAAAAUGGAAAUGGGGAAUGUGUCAAAGAGACAACAACCCGACCAAAUAAAAAACAACAGCAGAGGGUCACCAACAGGUCUUCAAUGUAGCGAGAAAUUCCCGCACCCGGAGGCGUCCUUCAGCUGGCCCCUAAACAAAUAUAUACUAGUCCAGUGAUAAUGAACGCCAUACUAAUUUCCAAAUUGUACACAAG